UCAACGACAUUGAAGAGAAAAGUAGGAUUACUUAUUUUGUACAGAAAGCUUCGGGUGCUGAGAAGAAGCAAAAGUAAUAAUCUGAAAAAUGGUCUCUGAGUCUCGCGCUGAACGUUUUUGUAACGAGUAGGUUAGCGACGAGUGUUGGCUACUCGUUAUCAAAGCCACAGUAUAAAGGGAGGCUUUACUAGUCCCGUGUACUUGAUGAGGCCGUUUGCGCGAGCGGGCGGUGAAGUAAGGUGGAACCACGUGAAUACCACGUCCUUAUC
rnacentral:ncRNA from 1 species